UUUGACAUUCAGAUCCAGGAUUGUGGAGGUAUGCCAUUAGAAGAACAGCCAGGGAAAGUGUGUGAAGCUUUCAGAUUAUUCUUACAAGGCAUGGGAUAUGGUUAGUAUUGAGAUGCUAUACUACUCUAUGUAAAGUGAAUGAUAAUGAAUAUAUACAGAAAUAAUUAUUAUGCUUUUUAGGGGGGAAGGGAUUUAAAAUUUAUAUAUGGAAAGAAGUAUAUUCUAGUGGAGUUAACGAAUGGGGUGGACUGGAAAUAUGGCAAAUGAUAAGGAAAAUGCAGUGUCAUUUUAUACAUUUAUGAUGUACUAGAGUCAAAUAUGUGGAGAAAUGUGAAUAAAAUAGCUUUAUUAUAAAUGAAAAGAAAACAAAUUAGGUUUGUAAUGGUAUGUCAUGUUCUAAGGUUUAAUAAAUUCAUAAAAUUAAUGGAUAUGGGAAAUGUGUUAAAAAAGACAACAAUCCGACAUAAAAACGAAUUAUCCUUUGGAUGUGAUCUUUUAACUUGAAAAGAAUUUGGAGAAUUAAAGCUUACUAUGGCAUAAAUAGAACAUGUAUUGCUUGAUGGGAGAAACUUGUAGUGCAGCCGAGUGUAAAUUGGUACAGAUGCUUUUACAAAUGGUAAAAUGUGAUUAAUCCAUUAUAUGUUAAGUUCCCAUGUGCAAAAGUUCGUAAGUAAAAUUCUUAUAUGAAAUCUAAACAUGUACUCAGAAGGGUUGCAAAAAAUUGCAUGGCAUUUUGCUUGUGUAAUUAGAAAUGAAAGUUACAUUUAUUGACACAAGCUUCUGUAUUUUACAUUUGCUUUUAUCAUGCAAACAAGCCUGAUCUAAUUAUUGCACUUGUUCUUUCAGUUAUUGACAUCACAUUAUCAGUUUUUGGAAGUGAGAAAUAAUUUGCAUUAAUUAGGAAUCAUUAUUUUGUUAACAACAAAAGGUGUCUUGAGUCAUUGUUCAAUUUUCACAGCUUCUAAAAAUAUCCGUUUAUCAAUUCUAUUAAUUAUUCACACAUAUUUUGUGUUAUAUUGUUAAUAUUCUUUUUACAACAUUUAUAUUGAUAAUCAUAUUAUAAAUGAGAAUCAGGGUCAAAUGUAUUGAAUUUGUUACAAUUUUUAUAUAUAGCUGUUGUCACACAUAUGUAUAAUUAUCUGUAGUUGAUCAAAAUAAUGUAGCUAGUAACCUUUGAAAGGAAAUUGCUUGUGUAGAGAAAAUAAAUUAUCAUAGUGAAAAUACAAAUUUAUCUUUUAAAAAUUAUUCUUUUCUUUGAAAUUCAUUUGUAAUAUCAAAUAUAAGGGGUAGACAAUCAUUUUGUGGUGAAGUAUUUCUUCUGCUACACACUUUUGAGUAAUUAUUUUAAUUUGAUUUCAGUGCCAACAUUAAGAGCCCCCAAGAAUCCCGCUCAGCAAACGCGCCAUAGUCCACACAGGAAAGAUGUAGAUUUCAGCAAAGUCCAACCUGUUUGUUAAUUGUUUGUUGUUACAUGUGCUUAACACUUGAGUAUUGUGAACUGUAAACAAAAAAAUAGCAGACGCAUAUUUUACAAACAUUGUUUAUUGAAUGAGUUGCAUAUGAUGUUAAUCAUUUACUUACAGAUUAAUGUUGCUUCUUAUUAAUGUGUUUACCAGUAUAUAUUAAUGCAUAAAUUCACAAAUUAUGUUUUAGGAAUUUAUGAUUGAACAUUAUUAAAACUAUAAAUGAUCUUUUGGGGUUAAUUUCAAUAUUUCAAUAAAAUGUAACUUUCACAUUAUAAUUGGAUUAAAAAUAUCAAUCUGAAUACUUUAAAAGGUGAGUUUUAGCAUUGAUACUUUUCUCAAAUACUUUAAUGAUAGAAUUUAAAAAGAAGUUCAAUGAAUCGCAAUUUACUGUGAAAUUAUAAUUCUAAAAGGGUUUACUCAAAGUGUUAAUUGAUUGCCUCCAAUAGGUGUUCUAUUCUAUCCACAAGUUUAAAUUUUUAAUUUGAAGUGUUGAAAAUUGAUAAAAAAAAAUCUAUUUGAAAAAUGCGAAGUCCUGAUUGGCUGUCUCUUAUAAACUGGUGUAUGUAGAGAAUCUGUGUUGAGGGCUAUUCCAUUAAAAUGAAUGUGGCGAGGUGAGAA
rnacentral:lncRNA from 1 species